UACGGGGGGGGCAAGCGUUGUUCGGAAUUACUGGGCGUAAAGGGCUCGUAGGCGGUUUGUCGCGUCGGGAGUGAAAACACCGGGCUUAACUCGGUGCUUGCUUUCGAUACGGGCAGACUGGAGGUAUGCAGGGGAGAACGGAAUUCCUGGUGUAGCGGUGAAAUGCGCAGAUAUCAGGAGGAACACCGGUGGCGAAGGCGGUUCUCUGGGCAUUACCUGACGCUGAGGAGCGAAAGUGUGGGGAGCGAACAGG
rnacentral:rRNA from 1 species